rnacentral:misc_RNA from 1 species
UCGUAACAAGGUUUCCGUAGGUGAACCUGCGGAAGGAUCAUUAGUGAAUUGCUCUUUGAGCGUUAACUACAUCCAUCUACACCUGUGAACUGUUGAUUGACUCCGGUCAAUUACUUUACAAACAUUGUGUAAUGAACGUCAUGUUAUUAUAACAAAAAUAACUUUCAACAACGGAUCUCUUGGCUCUCGCAUCGAUGAAGAACGCAGCGAAAUGCGAUAAGUAAUGUGAAUUGCAGAAUUCAGUGAAUCAUCGAAUCUUUGAACGCAACUUGCGCUCUCUGGUAUUCCGGAGAGCAUGCCUGUUUGAGUAUCAUGAAAUCUCAACCAUUAGGGUUUCUUAAUGGCUUGGAUUUGGGCGCUGCCACUUGCCUGGCUCGCCUUAAAAGAGUUAGCGUGUUUAACUUGUCGAUCUGGCGUAAUAAGUUUCGCUGGUGUAGACUUGAGAAGUGCGCUUCUAAUCGUCUUCGGACAAUUCUUGAACUCUGGUCUCAAAUCAGGUAGGACUACCCGCUGAACUUAAGCAUAUCAAUAAGCGGAGGAAAAGAAACUAACAAGGAUUCCUUUAGUAACGGCGAGUGAACCGGGAAAAGCUCAAAUUUGUAAUCUGGCUGUCUUCGAUAGUCCGAGUUGUAAUCUAUAGACGUGUUUUCCGUGCUGGAUCGUAUCUAAGUCCCUUG